ACCCAACCCAGCUCCCAAGCAACCCAAAGGGCCAGUCUCACUCCCACCAUGCCCACCCCCACAACAGCACCAAGUCUGUUUCCAGGUAGUGGGCAAACAGGAAGUUACCCCAGGCUACCCACCUCCCAGCUGCAAAACCCUUGAACCUGCUUGCCUCAGUAACCAUGGCAAGUCCAGAUGGCUGCCUUAGGAUCAGAUGUAAACCUUGGAGAAACCAGCUGUGGCCAGUAUGUCAAGUUUAAGCAGACAAAUGAAGGUGACCUGUGGUGGGAAUACACAUUUUGAAACUGAAAAGAGAUGGUAUGUGGGGAUGUACGGAGAACUUGUUGGAGUCUCUGUUGUGGACAACGCUUUAUGUGGUUUCAAGCUUCACAUACAAAAAAAAAGAAGGAAAGUGGCAGCACCCAAAAAAGAUCAAAACAAGGCAAGGAUCUCUGCUCUCGACCCAUCUAUUCAAUAUUGAACUAGAGGUCCCAGAUGGUGCAAUAAGGAGUGAACAGACCAGCAUCAGCAUCAAGUUCCUGGUUUCCCAGAAGGAUACUUCUGAGUCACAACAGCAAAACCAGCAGUUGUCCCAAGCACAAGGCUAGGAUUCUCUCACCUUCCUCAGAGGAAUCCAUCAGACAAAAUGAAAGGCAGUUAUAUAAACAUUCAGAGUAAACAUUCAAUUGUCCUUCUGAUUAUGUUGAACACACACACACAUACACACAUGCACACACAAAGUGGUCAGAGGGCAUGGAAGCUUUUCAGGAAAGACUUGUAAAUUUAACAAGCACAACUUCAAACAAAGCGUUUCAUAUUAGACUGCAGAAUCCAGUGAAGAAUCUGCAGGAUUAGUGUUAAUUUAAUAAAUAGUGCUGCUCUGCCCCUCUGUGGGAAUACUGAGAAGUGCAUGAGAAGAUGCACAGAAUUCAGAAUCAACUAAUACAGAUACCAUUAGUUAGAGAAAGAGGCUAAGUACAAAUAAAAUCCAGAGGCUUCUCUUCUAAUACGAAAUCCAUGCCAAAUAUUUAUAUUUUCUGAGUAUAGUGUCACUAGAUGCAAAACGAUAAGAUAUAAAUGACUUGGAACGUGAUUUGCAAAUGUCAGUUUUAAAUUCAUCUACUUUUAAAGUUGAAUUCAAUGUAUCUAUAUACUUAUUUUCUAUUUCUUCCACGUGAAAUGUCACUCGGUGGUGUAUAAAACAUGGUUACAAGUUUAAAAGUGAAACACAGGGAUAACAGUGAUAAUUAACAUUGAUUGAGUGAUUGCUAUAUAUCAGGCACCAGGCAAAUAUUAAUUCUUUUAAUCUUCAUACACAACACUCUGAGGGAGACAGGAAACCUCAUGGUAUACAGGACACCUCAAAGACCUUUAGGUAAAUACAUAAGCCCAAGACCACUUCUCAAGUGAGAGUCAGAAUCCAAGUCCAAGUAUCCUACCUCCCAGUGCAGCAUUUAUUUCACUUACACAAAGAUGUUUGGUUCACAGCCCUGAAGAGAAACCAUUUACCAGACUAACCUUGAUUAAGAAAUGUCUAUCAAAACUGAAUAAACAGAAAGUAUUGCAACUGCAUCUGACAAUUACAUGUUUUCUUCCUACUGUUUUUAAUAUUGAAAGAAAAAGAUGCUGACAAAAUUAUGAAAAAAAAGCAUGACAAUUAUUUAUUCCAUUAUAUAUUAAGCAGGCUCACUUUAAAAUAAGUUGAUUAGCAUUAAAGUCUUAUCUGAAGGCCCA
rnacentral:lncRNA from 1 species